rnacentral:rRNA from 1 species
CAGGACGAACGCUGGCGGCGUGCUUAACACAUGCAAGUCGAACGGGCUUGCUCCUUCGGGAAGUAAGCUAGUGGCGGACGGGUGAGUAACGCGUGAGCAACUUACCUUGGACUGGGGAAUAACACAGGGAAACUUGUGCUAAUACCGCAUAAAGUGCGAGAGGGACAUCCCUUUUGCACCAAAGGAGCAAUCCGGUCUGAGAUGGGCUCGCGUCCGAUUAGAUAGUUGGUGAGGUAACGGCUCACCAAGUCUACGAUCGGUAGCCGGACUGAGAGGUUGGCCGGCCACAUUGGGACUGAGACACGGCCCAGACUCCUACGGGAGGCAGCAGUGGGGAAUAUUAGGCAAUGGGGGAAACCCUGAACCCUAGCAACGCCGCGUGAAGGAUGAAGGUUUUCGGAUUGUAAACUUCUUUGGCCAGGGACGAUAAUGACGGUACCUGGAGAACAAGCCACGGCUAACUACGUGCCAGCAGCUGC